CUGAAAGAGGAGUCAUGGAAAGAUUUUAACAGCGAGUGGCUGAACCCCAACAAUGUCUACCCAAAGCAGCUAUUGGAGAGGAUAUUCAACUUGACGAGGACAAUGGAAUUCAUGUACAACCAAGAGGACAAUUUCACAAACUGCACCAACCUAAAGGAUACCAUCCAUUCGCUGUUCGCGGAACCAUAUACAAAGCUUAUUUAGGAUUUGUGUGAGCACACAACCAAUCAAUUUGUACAAGAUCUGAUUCACAAGUCACAACACAUGAGUUACGAUUUGAUUCACAACACGCGGUGGAUUCACUAGCAAAAAUCACAAACAAAUCAUUCAAAAAAGAGGUGAAUCAAAUCUGGCAGCUCGCGUGGUAGCUCGCGCCGCGCCGGGCCACCUGUGGCCGCACCGCGCCGGGCAGCUCCGCCCACACCGGCCAUCUCGCGGGGAGGGAGCUGGGAGGAGGAGGUCAGGGAGGUGGGGAGGGAGGGAGCAGAGGGAGGAGCGCCGGCCAUUUGCAUGUGCUGAGGGAGAGGAGCAGAUAUGGGAGAGAGAGAGAGAGGAGUCGGAGAGAUAAAGGCUGGUGUCAUGGAUUUAGUCUCGGUUGGUGGCUCCAACCAGGACUAAAGGUACAGAUUUAGUUCCGGUGGAGGCCACCAACCGGGAUUAACUCCAUUUAUCCUGGCUAGUGGCUCCAACCGGGACUUAAAGCUUCACUUUUAUCUCGGUUGGAACCACCAACCAGAACUAAAAGGAUUUUGAGGGACUACAAAAUUUAGAUCCGGGACUAAUGCCUUUUUAGUCCUAGGUCCAAUUCGUUUCGAGAUUUUUGUCCAAUGAUUGAAAGUUGUUUCUCUACUUAGUGCAAGGACGAUGGAAUUUAUGUACAACCAAGAGGACAAUUUCACAAGCUACCCUAACCUCAAGGAUACCAUCCACUUGUUGUUGGCGGAGUCAUUUAAUUUACAAUCCUCAUUUAGUAUUGGCAAUGACAAUAAAUUGUAUGUCUAGUUAAUAAUACAAUGUGGCGUCAGCUCAUUCUUCUGCACCCAUAUUUCAGUGUCAUCGGGUACAUUAUCUCUUGUCUAUGGUAGUAGGUUGGAAAAUAUUCUCUCUUAAAAUCUCCAUUAUGCAGGUCAACUGUUGUCUACUUUAGUAAUCAGAGUUACUUAAUCGCAGUACUGGUUGCUGUCUCUCUCUUUUUUCCUUGCGAGGACAAUGCCCGAAUGAAUGCCGUGCUUUUACCUUUUUUCUUUUGAAAGAAAGUGCCGUUUACCCCUUGUUCCUCGCCUUCUGUUGAAUCGAUGAUGAUGAUGAUCUGUUUAUGAGCCAAAUUGAUUACUAUUAAUAACAACUGUAGACCAAGCAAUCCAUGUAAACAGUUUAGAGAAACAUGCACGCUAUACGCUGCUGUACAGAUUUUUAUCUCUAAAAGCUAAGCUGAUCGAAAAAUCGUUAGUGUUGUUGGUUCAGUUUUUAGGUGAUGCGUUAAUGGAGCUGUGUUGAUUGAUGCUAGUGCCAUUUCAAGCUUGGAAAAAGAAAAACUGGCGACGGUGUUGAUUUUUCUGCAAGUUGUCCAUCGGGGCCAUCCAUGGGCCACCUCAGUAUUUUUCAAGUGGCAGAGAGCAGGUAGCAUUUGCAUCAUUUCCGCCUUUUUUAUUUUUUAACUUUUUUUCUGAAAGAUUCUUACAAAUAGACUCCAAAUAGGCUCCUGAAGGUAACAUUUCAAAAUCUGGACCCUUAGCUCGGCAUCAUCAUUGGUGGUACCAAGCUUACACGUCUCAACGUCAGGGGGUUUGACACCUAGGUUGUAGCGCCGUUAGUGACGUGGACGCUGACAUGGCAGCCUGCUUGGCGCCGUAGAUCUUAGCGCCAUAGAUCUUGGCGUCGAGCUCGGUGCCGUAUUACCCUGUAGCUCUUGGCGUUUGAAAUGAAACAAGUAUAUUUAUUCCGAGAAGCAUGCAACAACCACAUUGCAGUUUAGACAUGUGCAUUUUAUCCUAAAGGCACUAGAACGAAUGUUUAUUUGAAGGGAAGAAAUAAAAAUACCGAAGGACUCACAAAGCAUGCUAGCUAGCUUGUGUGUGCUACCGGUUGAUACUGACAGCAUAGUUUGCGCAAGAAAAAAAAAAGCCUCACAUGUUGGGCAAAUCUCUGAUUGGCUGCUGCGUGACGAAAUGACGUCUUCAAGUGCCCCUGUGUGCUCCGUGACGUUCUUUGUUGGGUCGAAACUCGAAAGUCAAGUGUGUGGCAAUGAAAGGACACGGUAGCUGUAGCUGAAAUGUCAAAAAAGAUUCAGCACUGGAUUCAAACUCAGACCUUUGGGAUAAAACACACGUGUCCUAACCAACUGAACCAUAGUGUGGUUGUUGCAUGCUUCUCGGAACAAAUAUACUUAUUUCAUUUCAAACGCCAAGAGGUAUAGAGUAACAGCUCAACGCCAAGAUCUACGACGCCAAGGUCGGCGCCAAGCUUGGCGCAUCCACCCUAACGCUAAGCGGGUUGCCAUGUCAGCAUCCACGUCGCCAACGGCGCUACGACCUAGGCGCCAAACCCCCUGGCGGCGAGACGUGUAAGCUUGGCGCCACCAAUAAUGACGCCGAGCUAAAGGUCCAAAUUUUGAAAUGUUACCUUCAAGAUUUAUUUGUGAGAAUCUUUCAUUUUUGUUUGUGAGAAUCUUCAAAAAGUGGCUAAAAAACAAAAAAAAGGGGCAUCAUUUCUAUUUCUGUCUUUGCACGCUCCUUCCACUUCCACCAUCAACAUUUCUCUUCUUUUUUCUGGGUACGUAGGGGCUUUUUUCUUUCUUCGUCAAUUAUAUUGUUCAGCUGGACACGUGAACCUCUCUCUUAUUUUCUCGAGGCAUUUAUCAACAGCUUGACCAGCAACCCUGCUCGCUCGUCGUGUGGCACGUGGCCUGCACGUACACAGUCAGAUCCACCUUGGCAAGCUAGCUAUACACGGAAUGAUCAUGAUCCUCCACAUAAUCCUGAUCCAAACCUUUCCUGCAGCUCUCUAUCAUACCGGCAGUAGAACCAUGACCUGGAAUAUUGCACUCUCUCCCUAACACAAGAAACAUGACAUACGUACCAAACUGUUCAUGAAUUUUUGUUUUUGUUAUUUUCUUGAGGGAACCAAAAAGUCUAUGAAUUGUAGGAAGGCACUAGUGGGCUUGGCGGCUUCAAUUUCAGAUCUAGAGCGAGGGGGAUGCCCUACAAGCAGAUCCUCAGAAUGCCUGGGAUGGAUGGAAAGCACAGAGCAGUAGGCACAGCAUGCCAUCAAUCUUAUUCCAGACAGCUAGCUCCCUCCAUUAUGUUAGUUCGCUGAGUAGUCAAUUUCUAGAUCGUCCUUUUUUAUCUCUUAUUCCAGAAGCACAAGUCACUUGUGGCCAUCAACUUCUAGUUCUUCAUCAUCAUCAACUCAGAUCGUGAGUAGUACUCUGUGUUAUCACAGAGUACUACUCACGAUGGGCAGAGAGGCGGUCACGUCGGAAGAGGAAGAGGCCGAGGCAGAGGACCUCCAAAGCCGCAUAACCAAAACAAUCAACGUCGAAUGUUUUAUUGCACUUUUCAAAGCAAACAACUAGAUCAUGCAACCAAGUUUUCUCCGAAAUAAAAAGACCUUCAAAAGAAUAGCUGAAGAAAAAGAGCUACCGCAGCAUCCAUACCUGUUUGGAGCCACAACAGCCAUACUUACGAGCUUAUCCACCUACAAACUCAAAUCCUGACCUUGCAAACUUUCAACCUGCCAUGGCCACCUUGAUCUCCUUCAAACCACCACAGUGCAUCAGCAGCAAUAGCAGGAGCUGCCAUAUUGCUGCAUCACCGCGGCCGCUCAUCAGGCGAUGCCCAAGCGUUUCACGGCGGAGGUGUCUGCAGCGGCGCACCUGCAGGUUGCGAUGCGGCCAAUCGCAGCAGGAUUGUGCCCCAAGAACAGGCCAUGGCCUUGAUGAGGAUGAUAGCCGGCUGAGCCAGAAUGCCGGUAUUUUCCACCCAUCUAUCUGGGGAGAUUUCUUUCUUGGCUACUCCAACCCAGCAGCUUCAUCGCAGCAACAGGUUUGUUUAUUGUUUCCCCGCCACGAUCGCCUUCUCUUCUAAACAUACGCGGUCGGCAAAUUCUUGAGAUUAAUAGGGUCAUAUAGUUUUCUAAUCAAUUUGUGUGUGAUUAUAUAUCAGUCAUAGAAAAUGUUAAGGACAAUCAGUACAUGUCAUUAUGCUAAGUUUAAAUGCUGUCUUCAGCAGACUCAGAUGGAAGAACGAGCCGACAAACUCAAGGAAGAAGUGGCCGAAAUAAUGGCAAGUUCAACAUUUAGCGGCCUGCAUGAGAGGCUACAUCUCAUCGAUACUUUGGAGCGUCUGUGCUUGGAUCACCUGUUUGAAGAAGAGAUUAAUGCUGCAUUACCACAAAUGCAGACUGCUGAUGUCAGUGACUACGAUCUUGGGACGGUAGCUCUGUGGUUUUGUCUACUUCGCAAACAUGGGUAUAAGGUUUCACCAGGUAAUAUUAAUAUUAAAUUGAAUAAACAAACCACGGAAUUCCAAAUAAAUAUGCACGGUUGCGUAUAAUGCAUGGUCUAAUUUAAGAGCAUAGUUGACGCAGCCAUGCUUCGAACGUGUUAAAAUGGUAAAAGAAAGGUAGCUUGGGCAUGUGGACUGUGGGAAAUAUCUUUGAAAGUUUACUUAACUUUCUUAAAAACUGACGAUAUUUUGACAAAUUCAAUAACAUAUUCCAGACGUGCUUGCGAGAUUCAAAGAUGAAGAUGGAGGUUUUCUAGCAGAUAACCCUGCAGACCUACUGAGCCUUUACAAUGCUGCGCAUAUGAGGACCCAUGGGGAGAUAAUACUUGAUGAAGCCAUACUAUUCACACGAAGUUGUUUAGAAACAACAUUACCCAACAUGGAAGAAUCAUUAUUAGCACGUGAAAUAAAAUAUGCACUUGAGAUCCCUCUGCCUAGAAGGGUUAGAAUAUAUGAGUCAAAGUAUUACAUCUCUGCAUAUGAGAAAGAUGCUACAGUACAUGAAACGAUAUUGCAGCUUGCAAAGUUGAACUCAAAUAUUAUGCAGCUCCAUCAUCAGCGUGAGCUGAUAACCAUUACAAGGUGAAACUAAUCAAGUAAUUGUUACCAUUUGAGCCUAUUCUAUUGCUUAUUUAUACUUCAAACUAGAAAUAACUAGCGUCAUCACUGAUACACCUCUAAUAAAUGUAUAUAUAGGUGGUGGAAGGAUUUACAUAUUGAAUCGAGGCUUCCAUUUGCUCGAGAUAGAGUUGUGGAAUGCUACCUGUGGAUGUUAGGAGUAUACUUUGAACCAUGUUAUUCACGAAGCCGAAUAAUAGUGACAAUGAUUAUUGCUAUAGUAACUCUCUUGGAUGAUAUUUAUGAUUCUUAUGCAACUCCAGAAGAAUGUGAAUUACUUACCAAGUGCAUUGAAAGGUUUGUAUUCCUCCCUCCUUACAAAUAUCUUUAACAUCCUAGGUUCACAAAAGUUCAUGUCUAUCUUUAAUGUGAAAUUCAAAGAGAACAAUAAAGAAAAAAUAUAUGCCACUAAUUGUAAAAAAAAGACUUUAGAUAAUCAUAUUUCAAUGGUAACCCAUGUUAUCUGUAUUUUUGGUUAAUCUUUAGCUUAUUACCUCCUAUGUGUGUGGUCAUGCACAAAAAGUUCCACCUAGCUUGGGGGAAUCCAACAAUAAAUGGAGGUUCAACCAAUUUGAUAGACGGAUAAUUACACAUUUAAAUUACAGGGAAUUUCUUAUGUCACGGUAAAUAUUAAAUUCAUGUGUUUGUUUAAACUAUCUUGGCCAGCUGGGAUGCUAAGGCGGCUCAUGACCUCCCGGAGUGCCUGAAAUUUGCUUUGGGGAAGAUGUUGGAUAGCUUUCAAACCAUUGCGAAUAUGCUCCACCAGGAGGAGAAAUAUCGCAUGUCCUAUCUAAGAUACUUUGUAAGUUUACAUUCCGAUCUAGAUUUUUAUUUGAGAGAUGAUAUACAUAUGAAAUAUUUUGUUACAAACCAUUUAUAAAGGCUCAUCAGGAAAGUAACUUUAUUGCUCAGUAGUUGGGCGUUAAUUCAGAUCCUCUCUGCACAUUCACAUGGACAUGUGGGUAAACAUUCCGUAAACCAUUUUUAGUACGCGUACCAUUUAUCUAUUCCAUUUUCUCAGUCCCACUUUAAAUGUUUUUCCGGGAAACUGAAGAUAUAUCUAGUUAUCCUAGUAGGUUUGCAUGCAUGUUAAAUUGAUGCUAUCAGCACAAACAUGUCUGUAAACACAUACCCUUGUUUCUAACUCAACAAUUUCCAUAAACUUACUAUCUUCAAUUUGCAGAUUGAAGAUCUGGUUAGAAGCUUUAGCAUGGAAGUAAAAAUGCUUGAAGAAGGCUACAUUCCAGAGUCUGUUGAAGAGCACCUGCAAGUUUCAAUAAGAACUGGAGGGUGUCCUCUUUUGUCAUGUGCUUCCUUCAUUGGGAUGAAUGAUGUGGCAACAAAAGAUUGUUUUAAUUGGGUUUCUAGUGUACCUAACAUGGUCAAGGCACUUUCCAGAAUUCUCAGACUAUUAGAUGACCUCCAAUCAUAUGAGGUAAUAUCUCUCGCUCAUUCCUUAGUUUAAAAAAUGUGAUAAUAUUUGAAGCCUAAUAUCAAACCCAUAAUUCCCAUUUCCAAUUUGAAUUGAUGGGAAUUUGACAUUAAUAAUUAACAAAACAUAUUUUUGUUACCAAGAACUUGACAUUCAUGCUAUGUACGUUCCUCUUACCAAUAUUUUUUAAUGUUUCAAUUAAUACAGCGGGAGCAAUUGAUCCCUCAUGUUGCGUCAACAAUCGAUAGCUACAUGAAGGAGCACAAUGUCUCGAUUGAAGUGGCACGUGAGAAGAUACACACUCUAAAAGAGGAGUCAUGGAAAGAUUUUAACAACGAGUGGUUGAAUUCAGACAAUACCAUCCCAAAGCAACUAUUGGAGAGGAUAUUCAACUUGACGAGGACGAUGGAAUUCAUGUACAACCAAGAGGACAAUUUCACAAACAGCACCAACCUAAAGGAUACCAUCCAUUCAUUGUUCGUGGAACCAUAUACAAAGCUUAUUUAGGAUUUGUUUGUUGGCAACCAACAAACAAAUUGUUGGCCCAAAUAAUAUAAUGUGGGAUUAGCUCAUCCUCCAGCACCCAUGCAUGUUUCAUUUGAU
rnacentral:lncRNA from 1 species